AGUGGCUCAUUCACCCACUUAUGUCAGCCCCUUCGGGACGUGCUACAUAAAAACCGAAUGACGCACAACAAGGUGCCUGCCGUCCAACUUCUGAUAUCAGCGUAGCUAUAUCAACCAUCGGGCGAAACGUCGAGUUAGGCACCGCCU
rnacentral:sRNA from 1 species